CAGUAGCCACGGGAACACGAAGGGUGCAAGCGUUACUCGGAAUUACUGGGCGUAAAGCGUGCGUAGGUGGUUUGUUAAGUCUGUUGUGAAAUCCCCGGGCUCAACCUGGGAAUGGCAAUGGAUACUGGCAAGCUAGAGUGUGUCAGAGGAUGGUGGAAUUCCCGGUGCAGCGGUGAAAUGCGUAGAGAUCGGGAGGAACAUCAGUGGCGAAGGCGGCCAUCUGGGACAACACUGACGCUGAGGCACGAAAGCGUGGGGAGCAAACAGGAUUAGAGACCCGCGUAGUCCCUGUCUCUUAUAC
rnacentral:rRNA from 1 species